rnacentral:rRNA from 1 species
UGGCCGGAACAUGUGGUGUAGCGGUGAAAUGCAUAGAUAUCACAUAGAACACCGAUUGCGAAGGCAGGUCACAAAGCAUACACUGACACUGAGGGACGAAAGCGUGGGGAGCGAACGGGAUUAGAUACCCCGGUAGUCCACGCCGUAAACGAUGGAUACUAGCUGUUGGGUUUUCGGACUCGGCGGCCAAGCGAAAGUGAUAAGUAUCCCACCUGGGGAGUACGUUCGCAAGAAUGAAACUCAAAGGAAUUGACGGGGGCCCGCACAAGCGGUGGAGCAUGUGGUUUAAUUCGAUGAUACGCGAGGAACCUUACCAGGGCUUAAAUGGGAGAUGACCGGGUCAGAGACGACCCUUUCUUCGGACAUCUUUCAAGGUGCUGCAUGGUUGUCGUCAGCUCGUGCCGUGAGGUGUCAGGUUAAGUCCUAUAACGAGCGCAACCCCUGCCGUUAGUUGCCAGCGAGUCAAGUCGGGGACUCUAACGGGACUGCCGGUGCAAACCGAGAGGAAGGUGGGGACGACGUCAAAUCAUCACGGCCCUUACGUCCUGGGCUACACACGUGCUACAAUGGUCGGUACAAUGGGAAGCCACCCCGUGAGGGGGCGCGGAUCUUAAAAGCCGAUCACAGUUCGGAUCGGGGUCUGCAACUCGACCCCG